CGCCAACUGGUCCCAGGCCCGUUCGCAAGGGACGAGACAAGUCGGGGAUAAGCCGCGGCGCCAUGGCCGCGCCGGCGACACCAAGGCCGUCCCUGAUCCUCUCACGUGCCUCCUCGCACUCCCACUCCCAACCCAGCGCCGGCGGCCUCACGUCUGACCGCGUCACCGCCUCCAACCGCCGGCGUGGCGACUUCGUUUUCGUCGUCAACCCUUCCGGCGCCAAUGGCCGCACGGGCAAGCAGUGGAAGCAGCUGCUCCCGCACCUCCGCGCCCGCCUCGCCGACCAGUGCAACAUUUGCGAGUGCAUCACUUCGGGCCCAUCCCACGCCAUAGAUGUCACAAGGGAGGCUAUAAAGGAUGGAGUUGAUGCCGUGAUUGCUGUUGGCGGGGAUGGUACGCUUCACGAGGUGGUGAAUGGCUUCUUUUGGAAAGGAAGUCCAGUGUGUGCUCUUGAUCGAGGGCCUGACCAUUCAACAGCACUUGGUCUUAUUCCACUUGGAACUGGCUCAGAUUUUGCAAGGACAUUUGGCUGGACUAAUGACCCUCGUGACGCAACCGAUCGGAUUGUGAGAGGAGUAAAAUCAAAACUAGACAUAGGCGUGAUGGAGGGUGCAAACAGAGAACCGCACUUCUUUGUUAAUGUUGCUGACAUCCAUUUGAGUGCUAAGGCAGGCUAUUUUGCUUCUAUGUACAAGAGAUUUGGCAACUUAUGCUAUGUAUUUGGAGCUUUAAGAGCCUUUUGGGGACAUAAUAAUCGAGAUAUGAGAAUAAAGGUAAAUGGGGGAGAAUGGAGAACUGUCCAUAAAGUCACCGCUCUAUGCAUAGGAAAUGCCAAGUACUUUGGUGGUGGUAUGAAGAUAACACCAACAGCCGAUCCCUUUAGCGGUAACCUUGAGGUUGUUAUUCUUCAAGAUUUCAAAUGGCACGACUUUCUUCUGAAGCUACACAGGCUGUAUGGAGGCACGCAUCUGUCAGUGAAUGGUGUGUCGUCAAUAAGGGUUCAGUCUAUCGAAGUAGCAGAGGUGACGGCUAGCGGUGACAUCUUUGUGCAAUCUGAUGGGGAGCAUUUCGGCUUUCUGCCAACCAAAUUUUCAGUUCUUCCUGGUGCAGUUGAUUUCUUCUGCUAGAUCGUCUUGGUCUUUCUUCCUGUUGGACUGAUAACAGAAAGAUGCACGAUUCUGGGUUAGAUCACUGUUGUGAAACGAUAUGGUAAUGAUCUAGUUGUUCCAUUCAUCUCCUGCAGUACAUCCAACAAGUCAAGUUGUGCCGUGCUGUAGCACACCAACAUCAAUGUAAAUUUGACAGCGACUUUCAGGCAGGCCUCCUGUACCAUGUGGAUGUGGCAAUAACACUUGUUUGCUGCCUGUGUCCCAACAACAACAGGGCCAUGAUUUGCUGUGGUUUAAGAAUAUAAGUUAAUGCACUCCAAGCUUGCAAUACCAUGUACUACUACGGAUCAGCAGGGCACAAAUCGCUACUUGGUCAUCAUUCUGAUAGUGCUAGCCAAGGUAGCAUUUCUUGUUUGUUCUGCUUGUUUGGUAGCAAGUGUUUAUCUUUUAA